GACGAACGCUGGCGGCGUGCCUAACACAUGCAAGUCGAACGGGACCAGGGGCAACUCUGGUUCAGUGGCGGACGGGUGCGUAACACGUGAGGAACAUGACCUUCGGCGGGGGAGUAGCCGGCCCAACGGACCGGGUAAGUACCGCGUACGACCUUUCGGGGUACGAUCCCUCGGAUGGUGAAAGACAGCAAUGCGCCGAUGGAGUGCCUCGCGGCCUAUCAGCUAGUUGGUGAGGUAACGG
rnacentral:rRNA from 1 species